rnacentral:rRNA from 1 species
GACGAACGCUGGCGGCGUGCUUAACACAUGCAAGUCGAACGGAAAGGCCUGCUUUCCCUUGUGGAUUGCGGGUACUCGAGUGGCGAACGGGUGAGUAACACGUGAGUGAUCUGCCCCCAACUUGGGUAUAAGCCUGGGAAACUGGGUCUAAUUCCCGAUAGGACUGCAGGGUGGUGCCUGUGGUGGAAAACGAUUUUCUAGUGGUUGGGGAUGAGCUCGCGGCCUAUCAGCUUGUUGGUGGGGUAAUGGCCUACCAAGGCGGCGACGGGUAGCCGGCCUGAGAGGGUGGACGGCCACAGUGGGACUGAGAUACGGCCCAGACUCCUACGGGAGGCAGCAGUGGGGAAUAUUACACAAUGGGCGGAAGCCUAAUGCAGCGACGCCGCGUGGGGGAUGACGGCCUUCGGGUUGUAAACUCCUUUCGACCGCGAGGAAGCCACCUGGUUGGAAGGGUGGUGACGGUAGUGGUAGAAGAAGCACCGGCUAACUACGUG